rnacentral:ncRNA from 2 species
UCUUCCGAGUCAGGAGAGAGCCCCGCAACGCGGAGCCGCCGAAGGCGCAGGGCCCAUCGAACGAAAGGCCCGAACGCUCAGGCAAAAGGACUGACGAGGCGCC